rnacentral:rRNA from 1 species
GCCGGCGGCGACAGCACGUUGAACGCACCAGAUCCCAAUGGAUCACUGAAGUUAAGCAACGUUGCUCGUGGUUGGUAUGGGGAUGGGUGACCAUCUGGGUGAAAAAAAAAUCGGAAUCAUUUCCGUUU